AAAGUGAACCACUUAUUAAUAAAGGAAACGAAGUAUACCAACCACAAAAGCACACAAGCAAAACCAAAAGGCGGCAAAGUGAUAUACUGAAAGGGCUAUAGUAACUCAUAGGUGCAAGUUGAUCCAAAAGAAUAUAAACUCCAAAUAGAUAGAUUCAUCAUCCAUGUAAAAAGUUACAACAGACAAUCCACAAAUUGACACAAGGUAAAAGUUAACAAUAACAACAAAUAGCCCACAAAAGUUGUGGAAACGGUAUUACUAUUCAUGUUUGACCCCAUUACGAUAUCAAUGAAAUAUACCUUCCACUCGUGCUGGUAUUUGGAGAUUAAAAAGCACAAGAAUUUUUGUUUAUUAGUAAUUAGAAAUCAAGAAGAGGUCGCACUUGGUGUGAUGGCAAGUGCCUUCGCCCAUGAGCGGUAGGUCUCGGGUUCGAGACUUGGGAGCAGCCUCUCCAUAAAAUGGGGGUAAGGCUAGCCGACAUUCACCUCUCCCAGACCCUGCGUAAAGCGGGAGCCUUGUGCACUGGGUACGACCUAAGUGAUUAGAAAUCAAGUGAACCACUUAUUAAGUCACUGAAACAAGGUAUACCAUACACAGUAGAAACAGAAACAAAACCACAGGCUGGACAAGUGAUGUACCACAAGAAAUAUAGUAGUUCUUAGAUAUGAGUUGAUCCAAAGAAAUGUAAUCUCCAAAGGAUGUAUUCAUCAUCCCAUACAAACAAUAAAUACAAGAAUAUUUCUACGAACAGUCUUGCUUCGUAAUCAUUCUACUCUGACAACAAGCCAAAAUCAGUCAAACAGUCAAACCAUAACUUAUCUGCUUCCCUAGGCUCUCUAAUUAUUCCUUUCAAAAUCUAGCGUCUUAGUAGAAAGCACCUUAUGUCUAAAACUUAUACGGAUUUUCCCCUUGUUAUAAUCUGGAUUUUUUAGUUUUUUAGUUUUCGGGUUGGACUGGUUGGUCUCUGCACUUUGUGGGGAUUUCUAGGUUGUAGCUAUAUCUGCUUGUUUUUUCCCUUUGUUUGUCUCACUUUGUAGUUGUUUUGGCGGACCUCUUGUCAAUCCUGUCCUCUCCAGUAAUGCUUAUCAUUUUCUUUGAUAAAUUAUAUUUCCUAUAAAACAUGGAAAAAAAACUGGC
rnacentral:lncRNA from 1 species